GCGUUGAGGCGCAGCGGUUACUGAGAGCUAUUGACGGGUAAAGCACUGUUUUGGUGCGGGCUGCGCAAGCGGUACCAAAUCAUGGCAAACUGAGAAUAGUUGAUAGUAUUCCAGCAACCAGUGGGACUAUGGGGGAUAAGCUCCAUUGUCAAAAGGGAAAGAGCCCAGAUCACCAGUUAAGGCCCCAAAAUAAUAUCUUAGUGUUAAAGGAUGUGAGACUGCAGAAACAGCCAGGAGGUUUGCUUAGAGGCAGCUAUCCUUUAAAGAGUGCGUAAUAGCUCACUGGUAAAGCGGUUUUGCGCCUACAAUGUAUCGGGGCUAAGUUAUUUGCCGAAGCUGUGGGUGUUGUAUUUUAUUUAUACUUUACAACGCGGUAGGGGAGCGUUGCAUUUUAUGCAAGUGAGAAUGUUGGCUUGAGUAACGAAAACAUAGGUGAGAAUCCUAUGCCCUGAAAACCUAAGGUUUCCGACGCCAGGUUCGUCCACGUCGGGUUAGUCAGGACCUAAGACUAGGCCGUUAGGCGUCGUCGAUGGAAAGCAGUUUAAUAUUCCUGCACUCUUUAUGUUUGUUAAGGUACCGAGGGACGGAUCUUUUCACUGUAAAUAUUUGGUACUUAUCAGUGAAUCCUUAAGGAGUCUCUAACAAAAAAUUGAUUCUAGGGUUGAUUCCAAGAAAAGCUCGAACUACUAUAAAACAUAAGACCUGUACCUAAAACCGACACAGGUAGGUUGGUAGAGUAUACUAAGGGGCGCGAGAUAACUCUCUCUAAGGAACUCGGCAAAUUGGCUCUGAAACUUCGGGAUAAGGAGUACUUUCUGUAUAUACCAGAAAGUCGCAGUGACCAGACCCAGCCGACUGUUUAAUAAAAACACAGGUCUCCGCUAAGUCGCAAGACGAUCCAUGGGGGCUGACGCCUGCCCGGUGCUGGAAGGUUAAGGAUGUUGGUUAUUCGCCCUUGAGGUGGAGAAGCUGACUACCGAAGCCCCAGUGAACGGCGGCCAUAACUAUGAUGGUCCUAUGGUAG
rnacentral:rRNA from 1 species